AGUAACGCGUGGGUAACCUGCCUUGUACUGGGGGACGAACAGUUAGAAAUGACUGCUAAUACCGCAUAAGCGCACAGUAUCGCAUGAUACAGUGUGAAAAACUCCGGUGGUACAAGAUGGACCCGCGUCUGAUUAGCUAGUUGGUGAGGUAAUGGCCCACCAAGGCGACGAUCGGUAGCCGGACUGAGAGGUUGAACGGCCACAUUGGGACUGAGACACGGCCCAG
rnacentral:rRNA from 1 species